GAGUUAGCUCAGAUGGAUAGAGCGUUAGACUCCGACUCUAAAGGCCGCUGGUUCGAAUCCAGUCGG
rnacentral:tRNA from 1 species